GACGAACGCUGGCGGCGUGCUUAACACAUGCAAGUCGAACGGAAAGGCCCCUUUUGGUUUCCUCGAGUGGCGAACGGGUGAGUAACACGUGGGUAACCUGCCCUUGCCUUCGGGAUAACUUCAGGUAACUGGGGCUAAUACCGGAUAGGAAUCCUUGCUGCAUGGUGGGGGUUGGAAAGCUUCGGCGGUUUUGGAUGGACUCGCGGCUUAUCAGCUUGUUGGUGGGGUAGUGGCUUACCAAGGCUUUGACGGGUAGCCGGCCUGAGAGGGUGACCGGCCACAUUGGGACUGAGAUACGGCCCAGAAGCCGACGGGAGGCAGCAGUGGGGAAUAUCGCACAAAGGGAGGAAGCCUGAUGCAGCAACGCCGCGUGUGGGAUGACGGCCUUGGGGUUGUAAACCGCUUUCAGCAGGGGCGAAGCUUGUGGUGACGGUACCUGAAGAAGAAGCACCGGCUAACUACGUG
rnacentral:rRNA from 1 species